AAAUUGUCAGAGACCUGUGUCUCUGCGGAGAGUAUUUUAGAUACCCACAGACACGCACGUGUCACUUAUCUAGAGGUUACGAUUUUAUUUUUUUUUGAUUUUUUUUUCUAUCUCUUUGCUUCUUCUCUCUUUCGAUUCCAACACAAAACACGAAUCGAUCAAAACUAGGAAGCUAUGCAAUCUCAUCAGCAACCUUGUAUCUCUUGUACUACUUUCAAUAUCCUUGCUCCCAUCCAGCCCCGGCUCAUACCCAUGGCGAGAGGGGCAAUGGCCAUGGGACAAAGUUUUUUUUUUUUAAUCAUUAAGCUAAUGGGGACCAGAAAAAAACAAAAACAAAAAAUUAUGUUGAAAAGGGUCUUAAAACAAUUGUAUGCCUAGGGACAAAUUUUUUUUUGAGACGGGGCUGCUCCCAUCUAUAAACGUCUCUCUCCCAAGGAUCAGAGUCUUCGUGAAAGUGAUAAUCGAACGUAUUGGCUUGGAAGGAAUCAUAGAAUCAUUGAUUGGUUAUUAUAUGAGAGGUCCUCCAUCAUUUGUUUACAGGAGUUUUGGGUAGGGAACGAAGAGCUUGUUAAUAUGUAUGAGAAGAGACUUGGUGACGCUGGUUAUCUCAGUUACAAGCUUGGCCGUACUAAUAACCGUGGCGAUGCUGUUCAUAAGGAUUAUUUUAGAGUAUGUAGAAUCUUAUCAGAAGGAAGGAGGAAGAAGAGAAGAUGCAGAGCUUAACAUCAAACGAAGUUGCGGGUUUAGUGGUUGGAGCUCUGCUUAUCGGUGCCACCAUCGCUGUUUCUCAGAGAAGGUUGAUGGAAGUGGGAAGAAGAAGGCAGGUGGGUUUUCUGUUGGCAAGAAGAAAUUGAAAACGAAACUGACUCCAGCUGCUAAAGCUAAAGCUGCUCAAGCUAUGGAGCUAGACAAUUGACAAGGAACCUCAGUUUUCUUUUCACUUGUAUGUAACCCUUUGUUCUACAUUGUCAUCUUUGUCUCUUUAGUUUCGUUUGAAAAAAUCAAGUUGAAGCUAUAAAUGAUCUGAAGGUACUAAUGUUGUAACAUAGUACAGACUCAACAAAACUCAACAUAGAACAAGAAAUCAAUGUUCAGUUUUGUGUGCAGUUUUGUGUUGAGUUUGGAAGACACCCAUAUUUAGGGAUGA